UACGGGGGGGGGCAAGCGUUUGUUCGGAAUUACUGGGCGUAAAGGGUGCGUAGGCGGUCCGCUAAGUUGGAUGUGAAAACUCUGGGCUUAACCCAGAGCCUGCAUUCAAAACUGACGGGCUAGAGUUCUGGAGGGGGUAGCGGAAUUCCUGGUGUAGCGGUGAAAUGCGUAGAUAUCAGGAGGAACACCGGUGGCGAAGGCAGUUCUCUGGGCCGUAACUGACGCUGAGGAGCGAAAGCGUGGGGAGCGAACAGG
rnacentral:rRNA from 1 species